rnacentral:lncRNA from 1 species
CUGCCUGAUUUAGCUCUAGAAGCCGUUAUAAAUUGUACUGUCGCAGUAUCCUCGAGACGAGUACUCCAGGUAGUUUAGAAUACAUUUACGCUCGUGCUGGUAUGCCGAGUGGAUUUUUACAGGGUCGUUUGGGCUGUUUCGGACUUAUGGGCGCCGUUGGGGUUGACGGUGGGCUCGGUUCGCCGUUUUGGCGUCAGAUUGUGCCGAGGACACGUUACUUGUUGGUUGUUAAACCAGUUAGAGUCAGUUACUUGGACUUUGGCUUGACAGAGCCUGAUUGAGCUCGACAGAGAUACGCUGCAUACUCGGUUGGGUAGCGCCCACGAGUGCCACUCCGGAGACGGCUUUGUGCUUUUGCGUUGGUGUCGCUCAUGCCGGUUGGACUUGCUCUCCACGGACCAGUUAGUGUGGAGGUAGCUGGAUAGUCGCAACUGGGCAGGGACGGGUGUAUUCACAGUCUCAGGAAUGGGUAUGUUUACAGUCCCGAUUAGAUUGGGUUAGAUUUGACAUUUCCUACAGUUGGUUAGUGUAGAGCAUGAUAGUGUAGUGAUUUGUAGCGGUUGAGUUUAUUUCCUGUAUUUUCCUACUAUCUUGGCUCCCCUCUGUAGACUUAGUGGGUGGACCGAU